GCCUGGAUAGCUCAGUUGGUUAGAGCGUGGUGCUGAUAAUGCCAAGGUUGAAAGUUCGAUGUGGACAGCUGCACAUUCCUGCAUUGCAGGGGGUUGGACU